rnacentral:rRNA from 1 species
UAGCAAUACGACGGAAAGUCUAGUGGCGAACGGGUGCUUAACACGUGGGCAACCUGCCGAGAAGUGGGGGAUAGCUCGCCGAAAGGCGAAUUAAUACCGCAUGUGAUUAGAGUGGACAUCCAUUCGAAAUUAAAGUCGGGGCAACCUGACGCUUCUUGUGGGGCCCGCGGCCUAUCAGCUAGUUGGUGAGGUAACGGCUCACCAAGGCUUUGACGGGUAGCUGGUCUGAGAGGACGACCAGCCACACUGGGACUGAGACACGGCCCAGACACCUACGGGUGGCAGCAGUCGAGAAUUUUUGACAAUGGGGGAAACCCUGAUCGAGCGACGCCGCGUGGAGGAUGAAGGUCUUCGGAUUGUAAACUCCUGUCAUUGGGGAACAAUGCGUGACGCUUAACUGCCGUUGCGUUGAUAGUACCCGAAGAGGAAGAGACGGCUAACUCUGUGCCAGCAGCCGCGGUAAUACAGAGGUCUCAAGCGUUGUUCGGAUUCAUUGGGCGUAAAGGGUGCGUAGGCGGCGCGGUAAGUCGGGUGUGAAAUCUCGGAGCUUAACUCCGAAACUGCAUUCGAUACUGCCGUGCUUGAGGACUGGAGAGGAGACUGGAAUUCUCGGUGUAGCA